GUGCUCACUUCGGCAGCACAUAUACUAAAACUGGAAUGAUACAGAGAAGAUCAGCAUGGCCCCUGAGUAAGGAUGACUUGGAAAUUCAUGAAGAGUUCCCUAUUAAA
rnacentral:snRNA from 1 species